rnacentral:misc_RNA from 1 species
UUUCCGUAGGUGAACCUGCGGAAGGAUCAUUGCAACACACGAUCCAAGAUCGACACUUAUUUGUGAACUGUUAAUGUUAUCUAUUGGUUCUUUCUGAAUUAGGAAUCUCCUGUUUGUUUUUAAGUAAGUGUUGGUGGAUGGAAGGUGACUGACAAGGAAAGGGUUGAUACUAUAUUACACCAAAAAAAUAACCAACAUGAAUUAUCAAUUGAACAUAAAUGUUAUGUCAAGUUCGUCUUGGUAUAACGCUAGAUUGAAAAUUGUAAAACAACUUUUAACAACGGAUAUCUUGGUUCUU